rnacentral:lncRNA from 1 species
GGGAUCUUCCUUCUAUUGCCCAGUGCCCCGUGAAGCCCUUGAACAAAACCAGAAGAAAGUGAAAAAUAAACAGCCUUAGUUGUCAUCAUCCUAUCCCCAGUGAUGGAGCCAUACUUGGGUCUGAAAUAUUUUGACACAGAUGAAGCAAGUCUUUGCAAUUUCCACAGGAAAGGCUUCUGUGACACACUCUCUUGUUUGAAGGAGUGACAAUAACCUGAGAAUUGCUGGUAGUAUUAUUUGUUGUUAUUACUGUCAUCAAAAGAUAUUUAAUUAGAAUCUCUUUUAUAUGUGACUGAUAAAGCCAGUGAAAAGGUCACACUGAUUCUAUAGUAAGC